UUAUUUCCAUGAGGAGGAUGAAAGUAGCUUCCAGCUGGUGGAUACAGCGCGCACACAGAAGACGGCCUACCAGCGGAAUCGAAUGAGAUUUGCCCAGAGGAACCUCCGCAGAGACAAAGAUCGUCGGAACAUGUUGCAGUUCAACCUGCAGAUCCUGCCUAAGAGUGCCAAACAGAAAGAGAGAGAACGCAUUCGACUGCAGAAAAAGUUCCAGAAACAAUUUGGGGUUAGGCAGAAAUGGGAUCAGAAAUCACAGAAACCCCGAGACUCUUCAGUUGAAGUUCG
rnacentral:misc_RNA from 1 species